UAUGUACUCCCUCCGUCCGACAAUACUUGUCAUCAAAAUGAAUAAAAGAGAUGUAUCUAGAACUAAAAUAUGUCUAGAUACAUCCCCUUUUAUCCAUUUUGAUGACAAGUAUUUCCGGACGGAGGAAGUAUUUG
rnacentral:pre_miRNA from 1 species